rnacentral:lncRNA from 1 species
AUGCGGCCCCAUAAAGACAUGGGGGGAGCGCAGGUGCUGCUGCUGCUGACCCUAUUGGGGACCCCAUUGGUGACACAUGGGACCCCCCGCCUGGUUGUGGAACCCCUCUAUGGGAUCCAAUCUGGGUUUGGGUGUUCGGUUUUUUUGGGGUUGCGAUUUUGGGGUCCUGAUGGGGGGCAGCGGUCGCCCCCCGUGGUCG